AGCUCCAAUAGCGUAUAUUAAAGUUGUUGCAGUUAAAAAGCUCGUAGUUGAACUUUGGGCAGUUGGUCGAACGGAACAUCUACGGAUGUAUCUGUUUGACCGUGCCUUUUCUCCUGGGAGCUCGGCGGUGCUUUUGUGCUGUCGAGAUCUUUCUCAGGACUGUUACCUUGAAAAAAUUAGAGUGUUCAAAGCAGGCGAUUUGCUUGAAUAGAUUAGCAUGGAAUAAUGAAAUAGGAUUUUGGUUCUAUUUUGUUGGUUUCUAGGACCGAAGUAAUGAUUAAUAGGGACAGUUGGGGGCAUUAGUAUUUAAUUGUCAGAGGUGAAAUUCUUGGAUUUAUGAAAGACUAACUUCUGCGAAAGCAUUUGCCAAGGAUGUUUUCA
rnacentral:rRNA from 1 species